CCAGAAAACCCUGCAAUCGGAGUCGAAAUCCAACCCCAUUUUGCCCACGCGCCUUUUUCUCUUUUCUCGUUCGCUGACCUUCUCCGUUGCCUUGCUCACCACGAAGAAACCCACUCACCCCUUGAACCAGUCAAGCCCAAAUUCCAAAUCCCACCACUGUCUAAAGAUGUAUCAGUUUCGAAUUAUUGAAACGAAUCUCACCCCAAUCGAAAAUAAAGGCAUCUAAAUCAAAAUAUUGGGCUCUCCAAUUCUAUCCAAGCACACCUCUAAUUUACUCUGUCCUCGAUGUCCAGCAAAUUUAAGGAGUCUCUUCGUUGGUAGAGUAAUAUAUAUGCUACCCACUUAUAUAUUUGUAUAAAUAAGGUCAUUUGUUUCAUUCCAUCCAUAGAUUAGUGUAGUUGAAAAUGAAAAACAAACCGAGAACCCUGGAGAGUUUCAGUGAUCUUCCUGACCAAGUUGCUCAUCACAUUCUUUCCUUUCUCACCAUAAGAGACUUAACUCGGUUCGGUUCCACGUCCAAAAAAUGCCGGGAGCUUUACCUAUCAGCUCCAUCAUUGAACUUUAAGGUAGAUGCCUCCUCUCGAAGAUUCAUGACCAAGCGAGCUAAGUUGCUCAACUCUGUGGAAAGGUACUUGCUUCAACGUGGUAAUAAUCCAAUACUCUGCUUUCGCGUUUCUUGGGUUUUCCAUGAAAGUGAAAGGGCAAGGUUGUGUGAUGAGCAGUUCCGAUUCGUCUCGUGGAUCCAGAAUGCUGUAAGGUGCAAUGUCGAAGUAAUCCAACUAGUUUUUGAUCAAAGUCACACUGCAGUCCUGCCAGUCCGUAAGUUCCCAUUGCCCUCAUGCAUCUGGAUUUCUACUUCUCUGAGGUCCCUAGUGGUAGUCUCAAGUUUUGUGAUUAUUCAAGUGCCCUCCUUUUCUUUCUCAUGUAAACUCUAUUCCUUAAAGUUGAGAGGCGUAAUAAUAGAAGACGAGAAUUUUUGCAAAUGGAUCUCAUGUUCUUGCAAAUGUCUUGAGGAAUUAUCGCUUGAAAAUGUUCGUGGCGAAGGUUUGAAAAAUUUUACUAUUGAAAGCUCCUCUUUGCAAUCGAUCAGUUUGUUGAAUAGUGGAUUCUGCCAUGUCAAUGUCUUAUGUGAGAAACUGGAAGAUCUAUAUGUAAAUUGCAGAAUUUAUUCUAGUGGGACAUCGAUGAAUAUUUCUGCUCCAAAUCUCAAACACUUGAGGUGGUGGGGAAAUUUGAUGAAUCAUCUAAAUGUUGGAAAUUUAAUGCGUUUAGAAAAAGUUGAGCUUUUUCUAUCCCCUAAAGUAGAUGACUUUGACAGCCUAUUGGAGGUUCUUUCUGGUAUUCGCAGGACUAAAGUUCUUAUUCUAGAUGGGAACACUAUGGCUAUGUUCAAGGAAGGUUCCAUGCCAUUACCAUUAGAUGAGAUUAGUAAUUUGGGCAUUCAUAUUUACAGCUUGAAAGAUGUCCUAGUCCCGGCAAUGGUCUCUCUUCUCAGAGGAAUGACUAAUUUGAAUACUCUCUGGAUAACAUCUGCCAAUUUGCCAACCUAUAUGCACUUCCCUAAGGUUGAUGCAUCUUUGUUCAAUAUGGGUUUUUGGAUAUCACAAAGGCUUGCUUUAGUUUCUCAACUUAGGGAGGUGAGAAUAGAGCUUGCAAAUUAUGGGACUAAUGAGUUUGAGUUAGCAAGGUAUUUGCUGGAGCAUGCUCAUAAUUUGAAGAAAAUGGUCAUACUUUAUCCGCCCUGGCAGUCCCAUCUUUUAAAGAAGAUUAUCAGAAAGAAGAUUGCUUCUACUGCCAGGCUUGUCUUGCAGGAAAAAAAGAAAUGAGCUGGGAGUGUGCAUUUCUUUUGAAUGAGGCCGCCCUGUUACCUAUUUCUUUGGUGUUCCAUAUUGAUCCAUGUUUGCAGGGUUGGUAUUUUUGCCUAUUGGAGGUUCUUUCUGGUAUCCGCAGGACUAAAGUUUUUAAUCUUGAUGGGAUGACUAUGAAGGCUGUGUUCAAUGAAGGUUCCAUGUCAUUACCAUUAGAUGAGAUUAGUAAUUUGGGCAUUCAUAUUUACAGCUUGGAUGAUGACCUAGUCCCGGCAAUGGUCUCUCUUAUCAGAGGAAUGACUAAUUUGAAUACUCUCUGGAUAACAUCUGCCAGUUUGCCAGCCUAUAUGCGCUAUUCUAAGGUUGAUGCUUGCUUUCGUCUCUCAACUUAAGGAGGUAAGAAUAGAGCUUGCAAAUUAAUGGGAGUAAUGAGAUCGAGUUAGCAAGGUAUUUGCUGAAGCAUGCUCAUAAUUUGAAGAAAAUGGUCCUACUUUAUCCGCCCCAGCAGUCCCAUCUUUUAAAGAAGAUUAUCGGAGAAAAGAUUGUUUCUACUGCCAGGCUUGUCUUGCAGAAAAAGAAGAAAUGAGCUAGGAGUGUGCAUUUCUUUUGAAUGAGGCCGCCCUGUUACCUAUUUCUUUGGUGUUCCAUAUUGAUCCAUGUUUGCAGGGUUGGUAUUUUUGGUAAGCAAAUUUAUAAUGUAAUAUGGAAAACUAGCCUCCAGUGUAGCUGCAUUGCCAAUUCUUUUGAAUGGAUGCAGUGUCGUUUCCUUUUCCUUGUGUUGUAACACAAGUACUCAAUUGAUCAAUGUAUGCACAUUGAUUUUAGAAUGUUGACUUC